CCCCAUCAUCAUCAUCAUCAUCAUCAUUACUAUCUCCACCAUUAUUAUACACACCAUUACCACCACAUUCAUCAUCAUCACCAACAUCACUGUCAUUUUCAUCCUCCUCCUCCUUCUCCUCCUCUUCAUCAUCAUCAUUAUCUAACUCUACCCAAGAUUCUCAGCCAGCAGAAUUUCCAGCUUCCACUGUGAUCACUGUGUCUGUAAUUAUUCUGCUGCUUUUGAUUGUUUUUACAAUCCUCACUUUGAUUCUACUAAAGAGGCGCAGGUUGCAAGCAGGUGGAGCUUCUACUGACCAGUGUCCUGUUUAAACCUUAAGAGAUUACCAAGAGUUCAUCUUGCUACCAUUUGAGUAUAAGGAGAUUGCAGACACCAGAGAACUUUCUCCAUCAGAUGCUGGAUCUUCUGCAGUUUACUGUUCGUCUACCACCUAUCCCCCUCUGACCCUUUUUCAAGACACCACAGUGUUACCCACAAUCCCCUGUGACUCUACUGUUUAUUCUAAUGCUCA